AGGGAUCAUUACUGAGUUUACGCUCUACAACCCUUUGUGAACAUACCUAUAACUGUUGCUUCGGCGGGUAGGGUCUCCGCGACCCUCCCGGCCUCCCGCCUCCGGGCGGGUCGGCGCCCGCCGGAGGAUAACCAAACUCUGAUUUAACGACGUUUCUUCUGAGUGGUACAAGCAAAUAAUCAAAACUUUUAACAACGGAUCUCUUGGUUCUGGCAUCGAUGAAGAACGCAGCGAAAUGCGAUAAGUAAUGUGAAUUGCAGAAUUCAGUGAAUCAUCGAAUCUUUGAACGCACAUUGCGCCCGCCAGCAUUCUGGCGGGCAUGCCUGUUCGAGCGUCAUUUCAACCCUCAAGCUCUGCUUGGUGUUGGGGCCCUACAGCCGAUGUAGGCCCUCAAAGGUAGUGGCGGACCCUCCCGGAGCCUCCUUUGCGUAGUAACUUUACGUCUCGCACUGGGAUCCGGAGGGACUCUUGCCGUAAAACCCCCCAAUUUUCCAAAGGUUGACCUCGGAUCAGGUAGGAAUACCCGCUGAACUUAA
rnacentral:rRNA from 2 species